AAGAUCCAACCGUCAAACAUGUUUGUAUAUACUUCAAGAUCGCAUACGUCAAAAAUUACAAAAAAACAAACAUUCAGAGAUCAAGUAACGGGACAAAACGUUUCGACGGUUAUAAACGAAAAAUCACGAUUUAACGGUCAUUUUAACUCCGAUUUUGAUGUUUUUUUACAACCACACUCCUUGACCCUAUAUGAAUACAAUGAUUGAAUUU
rnacentral:lncRNA from 1 species